GAAACUUUCUGGUAGCAAAAGUUUGGAUUUUUGUGCAGAAACAGCUUGCUGCAGUCUCAGUCAAUUUGGAACUAACUUGAUGGUGGUAUGAAAUAAGGUGCCAAAAGGCACCCGAAAACAGGCAGAAGAAUGAAGCCAAGAAAGCAAAGGAGAGUUAAAGAGAAGAAAUAGAAAACGAACUUUGAGAAGAACAAGAGAUUGAGAACACUGUAGAGAAUGAAGAAGAAAAAAGAGAAGAUAAAAAAAGAAGAAGAAGAAGA